AAAAAGUUUGUUAACUUAAUUUUAUCAUAAAAAAUUAUUUUAAAUGUAAGUUUUAAUUCGAAUAAAAAAUAAAUUUAAAUAAUAAAAAUUAUAUAGUUGCAGUAAAAAAUAUUAUUAAUUAAGUCAUUUUAGAAAUAGUAAUUUUUAUUAGUAUAAACAAAAUUUGUGCCAGCAGUUGCGGUUAGACUAAUUAUACAAUGAUAAAAGUUCAGUUUUAGUAAGUAGAAUAAAAAAAAUUAUAAUAAAAUUUAUUAAGUGAAAUUUUAAAUUUUAGUAUAUUUUAAAAAAAUUAUAAAACUAAUAAAAUUUUAUAUUAAACUAGGAUUAGAUACCCUAUUAUAAAAAAGAUAAUUUUAAUGACUAGAUUAGUAUUAGAUAUAUUCUUGAAAAUUAAAAUAAAUGGCGGUAUUUUAGUCUAUUCAGAGGAACCUGUUCUAUAAUUGAUGAUCCACGAAUUUAUUUACUUAAUUUUUUAGUUUAUAUAUCGCCGUAUUAAGAAUAUCUUUAAAGAGAUUAAAUAUUCUAAAUUAUAAAUUAUUUAUAUAUAAUUCAGGUCAAGAUGUAGCUUAUAAUUAAGAAGAAAUGGGUUACAAUAAAAAUAUUUUUGGAAAAUUAAUAUAAUUAUUAAAUUGAAAUUGGAUUUGAUAGUAAUUUAAAAUAAAUUUUUUAAAUGAUUUAAGCUCUAAAAUAUGUACAUAUCGCCCGUCGCUUUCUCUAUAAAGAGAAAUAAGUCGUAACAAAGUAGAUGUACUGGAAAGUGUAUCUAGUAAACA
rnacentral:ncRNA from 1 species